UUCUGGUUGAUCCUGCCGGCGGGCACCGCUAUUGGAGUUCGCUUAAGCCAUGCGAGUCGAGAGGGGUAAGCCCUCGGCGCACUGCUCAGUAACACGCGGACAAUCUGCCCUCGAGACGGGGAUAAUCCCGGGAAACUGGGAAUAAUACCCGAUAGGUCUGGGAUGAUGGAAGGCUCCCUGGCCAAAAUCUUCCGGGGCUCGAGGAUGGGUCUGCGGCCUAUCAGGUCGUAGGGGGUUUUACGGACCCCCUAGCCGAAGACGGGUACGGGCUUUGGGAGAAGUCGCCCGGAGAUGGAUUCUGAGACACGAAUCCAGGUCCUACGGGACGCAGCAGGCGCGAAACCUCCACAAUGUGGGCAACCACGAUGGAGGAACUCCAAGUGCUUACACUUUUGUGUAAGCUGUUCUCGAGCCUAAAAAGCUCGAGAAGUAAGGGCCGGGUAAGACGGGUGCCAGCCGCCGCGGUAAUACCCGCGGCCCGAGUGGUGCUCAUUAUUAUUGAGCCUAAAGCGUCCGUAGCUGGCCGGGCAAUCUCCGGGUAAUCGGGCCACUCACGGUCCGAUUCGGAGACCUGCUCGGCUGGAUCGGAGAGGUGAAGUACUCC
rnacentral:rRNA from 1 species